GCGCGUGUAUCCCAAUAGGUAGAGGAAACAGACUUAAAAUCUGUAAAGUGUCGGUUCGAACCGUCCACGCGCA
rnacentral:tRNA from 1 species